rnacentral:lncRNA from 1 species
AAAAAGGAACCCAAACACCCUCAUAAUCUAGAAAACCUAAUUCCCGUUUGCCCUAUUACUUUUGUUCGUAUGAAGAAACAAACAUCAUCUAUUUCAUCUCCAAUUCCGCUCGUUAAACUCUGAUUUACGUGAUUUUGUUCGAUUCUACACAGUCGUCGUUAUCCUCUAUCUGCAACACGAAACAAUUCACCUGACAUUGUGUUGUCAAAUCAAAGAUAUUCACCUAAAUCGGACGAUCUGAUUAACCGAUUUCCACCUAUUACUUUUGAACAGGAAUUUGCCAGGUGUAUGCAAGGAGUACUAGACUGCUCUUUUGAUCAAAUUGCAUUGUGA